UGCAAGUCUGGUGCCAGCAGCCGCGUUAAUUCCAGCUCCAAUAGCGUAUGUUAAAGUUGUUGCAGUUAAAACGUCCGUAGUCAAAUUUUAGUAUCACCGGCGCGGUGCCUUGGUCUUCAUUGAUCAAGCUCGCGGUCGAUGGAGACUCCACGUCCGAAGGCUCCUAGUCCUCGUGGCUAGGGUUUUGUGGUCAAUUACCAUGAGCAAAUCAGAGUGUUUAAAGCAGGCUUUUAAGCUUGAAUGUGUUAGCAUGGAAUAUUGAAAUAUGAAUUUAGUCCUAUUUUCGUUGGUUUAGGUACUAUAGUAAUGAUUAAUAGAAACGGUUGGGGGCAUUUGUAUUUGGCCGAAAGAGGAGAAAUUCUUGGAUAGGCCGAAGACCAACGACUGCGAAAGCCUUACCAC
rnacentral:rRNA from 2 species